GUCUCUACAAAAAAAUUAAAAAAUUAGCUGGGGGUAGUGGCACACACGGAUAAUCCUAGCUACUCGGGAGGCUUAGUGGGGAGGAUUGCUAGUGAGCUGUGAUGCGGCCACUGCACUCCAGCCUGAGCAACAGAGCUAGACCCUCUUUCAAAAAAUAAAUAAAUAAAUAAAUAAUGUAGGCCUUUGUGCUCGACAUACUGGAUUGUUUCUGUUACUUGUGACCUAUGCAACCUUGGGUAGUUAAUCUGAGUCUCCAGUUCCUCUUCUGUAAAGAAAGGAAAAUGAAAGAAUUUUACUCUGAGAAGAAGGGCAUUAAAUAAGAUAAUACGCAGAAACUGCCUCUCAGCACAUUAUCAGUGUGCUCAGUGAAGACCAGCUAUUAUUUGUUGCUGUUAGUAUUUUUCCUAUUUGCUCCGGUAGCACCCUAGGAGAGAUCAAUGCAGCACACAUCCAGGAGAAGGCUUGCAGAGAUCUGGGGACAAUGUGGCAGGGAAAAUUGUCCAAUGAGCUUGGCAUGUGCAGGAGAGAAGAAUGGGAGGGGAAGUGUCCUGGUGGACUGGGCAGUGACUCUGCAGCCAUGGUGGGGUGUGGGGUGGGGUUGGGUUAAAUUAAAUCUAAGUAGGAUGGGAGCCCCAGAGGGUAGAAUCUCAUUCAUUAAUCACUUAUCGACUAAGUGGUACAGGCCCAGAACAGAACAGUUUUGGGGCUGGGGAUGGAAAACAGAAGCUCACAUUCCGGGGUUAGGGGACAGAUCCUCAGCAAUAAACAAUCAAGAUAAAGUCAGAAGACUCUAGAAAACAACACAAGAGUGAGAAGACCACAAAGACUGGGAGUGAUGAUGAAACCAGGGAAGCUCUCUCUGAAGAGACCCUGGAACAAGGUUAGACUGAGGUUAGAGAACAGGCCAGGUGAGGAAAAAUGAAUAGACAACUCCUGAAGGUGAUCAGAGUUAUGAGGAGUAAACAGUGUGACAUGCUGGAGAGUAACUUGGGGCCUGUUAUGUGCUCACAUUCCAAGAGACACACAUUCACGUACACUGUCAUUAAUGAAUAUUGAACUGGAUUUGCUUUUUAAAUACAAGAGCAUGUGUUAAACAGGAGCACGGAUUCACUGCUGUUAGGCGGCAUGCCAGAUUCAUUUGUAAUAAACAAGGCAUCCACAAAGACAAAUCCAAUGAGCUUCUUGCCUUCUAGCCUCCUGCCAAAAAUGCUGCUCCCGCCUCACCUCUUGCCCUCGAGGCUCUCAUUCCCUCUCCUAGCUUUUGGUAGGGCCAGACUUCCGCUGGAAUGAUUCCCUAAAACAACAGUAGGACCUGGGAAGUCCUUCAAAGACGGCACCUAGAGUGAUGCUCUCCGACCACUGAAAGGGGACCACGUCACAAGCGUACCAGCUCCAGUUCCCUCCACAGAGAAAAUUAUUGAGAUUCGCAUUUUAGACCCGAGAGAAUGGAGGCCGAGGGCAGCGAGGCGACAGCUCAAGAACCAUGUGAAGUCACAGCAAGAAGGCAACUAUCUGCAAACCAGAAAAAGAGGAUGGAGGUCCAAAAGAACAGAGCCACUGUUAUCUACUGAACUGGGGGAGACACAAUUCAGUUGAAAAUAUCAGCCGAGAAGGUGCUUCCUCAUCUUUCACUUCACGCCAAUAACCUGAAAGCAAUGACAUGCCAGUGAAGUGCACAUGCACUUUGGUGAGAAGGGGCACUGCCAUCACAAAUGUGUAUCGGCACACCAAUGCAUGAGUCUGUGGCCCCAGCUGAGAACAGUACUCUUCCCCCAGCUGAGAAUAGUACCUGGAUGAUGCAAGAACUAAAGGAAAAGACUGAAGAAGGGAGGAGCCAGCACUGGCCCAGGGCAACUUGGAGCAACAGACGACAGAUGUGCCUGUGAUGCCCACCACACCCAACCAGGUGCUCAAGCAAGAGAUCUAGUCCUCGGCCCUCACUCUCUCCUUGGCCAGCUGAAAGCUGAAGAUCAUGACCUGAAGAUUUCUUCUUCUAAAUGUGAUGCACAGCUUCACCUCAAGUCUACAAAGUGGCCACCACCUUCUGGAGGUCUCUAUUCCGAAUGACUCCCUAGAGUUCCAGACCUUUGUGUCUACGAGUCCACUUGAUGUCUUCACUCAGUGUUCUCUGAAAUAUCUCACUCUUCACAUGGCCAAAACAAAACUCACAUAUACCCACUGAAAAUUACUUUUACUACUAACUUCCCCUUCAUUCCUGUGGAGUCUUAAUUAGGCAAAAGGAGUCAGGCUGGUGGGACUAGGAGAAACCAAAAAGAGAAAGCAGAUAAGCUCUAAGUCUACCUUUCUUCAUGGUCCAGGACACACAGCCCUCCUGCACAAAUAACUCACAAUCUUCCGUGCCCAACUAUCACCAGACACUUGCAUGCUAGCUCACUGCAACCAUAGCGUUAUCAGUAUUACACAAAACCUUCUUCAGCACACAGCAUAAACACUAUCCUAUAGAAUCUCAAGCAAGCCUUUGUUUCUUGGCAGUCAGCUUCUCUUCUGCUGAUCCUGCCUAUUCCCUCCCUGGCAACGUAUCUUCCUACUUUCUCUAAUAAAUCUGCCUUUAUUAACCUACAACUGUCUUGGUAAGUUCUUAUACUCCCACACCAGUGGCCCAGAUAGUCACUGCUCACCUAUGACACUCCCUUCCAAAACUCUGGAGUAAUCCCUAAGUGCUACCGUUCUCUUUUUUUUCUUUUUUUUUGAGAUGGCAGUCUCAA